GGGGUAGCUCAGUUGGUUAGAGCACUGCACUCAUAAAGCAGAGGUCGUGGGUUCAACUCCCACCCCCGG
rnacentral:tRNA from 1 species